AACGUAGGUGGCGAGCGUUAUCCGGAUUUACUGGGCGUAAAGCGUGUGCAGGCGGGGGGAUAAGUGGGGUAUGAAAUCGCCCAGCUUAACUGGGCAAGGUUAUGCCAGACUGUCACUCUAGAGUGCGAGAGAGGGGCGUGGAAUUCCGGGUGUAGUGGUGAAAUGCGUAGAGAUCCGGAGGAACCCCAGAGGCGAAGGCGGCGCCCUGGCUCGCAACUGACGCUCAGACACGACAGCAUGGGGAGCGAACGGG
rnacentral:rRNA from 1 species